GACGAACGCUGGCGGCGUGCCUAACACAUGCAAGUCGAACGGACAGGUCCUGCUUGUAGUCUUCUCGCGUGACGAACGGGUGAGUAACUCGUGGGUGGUUUGCCCUCCUCUUCGGGUUAAGUUUCUUCAACUGGGUCUAGUACCUAACAGAUGCCAUUUUUAACCGGGUGGUUCGAUAGUUUUUGCGGUUUAGGAUGAGCUUUCGGCCUAUCAGCUUGUUGUUGGGGCAAUGGCCUACCAAGGCGGCGACGGGUAGCCGGCCUGAGAGGGGGUACUGACACAUUAGGACUGAGAUAGAGCCCAGACUAGGACGGGAGGCGGCAGGGGGGAAUAUUGGACAAUGGGAGCAAGCGUGAGGGAGCGACGCCGCGUGAGGGAUGAAGGCCUUCGGGUUGUAAGCUCAUUUGGCUAGGGAAGAAGCUAUGUUGUGACGGUACCUAGAGAAGAAGCACCGGCUAACUACGUG
rnacentral:rRNA from 1 species